AUGGCGGCGGAGGUCACCCUGCGCCGCUUCGACCUCUCGGACGUCGACGCCAUGAUGGCAUGGGCGUCCGACCCCGAGGUCGCCGCCUUCUGCCGCUGGGAGCCCGGCUACGUGGUCAGGCGGUACCAGUACCAGUACUGGUGCCGCGGGGAACACCCCGUACUGGUCUACUUCUCCCCGCCCCGCGACGCCCUGCUCGCGUUCCUCCGGGGCACCGACCCUCCGCACACCUGGAUCCGCGCCGUCUGCCUCGGCGGCGCCAUCGUGGGCGCGGUGACCGUGUCGCGCACAGAGGACCGGUGCCGCGCGGAGGUCGGGACCGCGCUGGCGCGCGCGCACCGGGGCAGGGGCACGGCCGCGGCGGCCCUGAGGCUCGCGGCGACCACGGCGUUGGGGGACCUGGAGGGCGUGGAGCGCGUGGAGGCGCUGGUGGACGCGGACGACGCCGCGUCCCGGCGCGCGGUGGAGGACGCCGGGUUCCGCCGCGAGGCCGUGCUGCGGAGCCACCGCGACGCCAGGGACGUGGUCGUCUACAGCCUCAUCUCCACCGACGACGACCCACUCAUCGACUUACCCAGUUCAUGA
rnacentral:rRNA from 1 species